UUAAGCGACUAAGCGUACACGGUGGAUGCCCUGGCAGUCAGAGGCGAUGAAGGACGUGCUAAUCUGCGAUAAGCGUCGGUAAGGUGAUAUGAACCGUUAUAACCGGCGAUUUCCGAAUGGGGAAACCCAGUGUGUUUCGACACACUAUCAUUAACUGAAUCCAUAGGUUAAUGAGGCGAACCGGGGGAACUGAAACAUCUAAGUACCCCGAGGAAAAGAAAUCAACCGAGAUUCCCCCAGUAGCGGCGAGCGAACGGGGAGCAGCCCAGAGCCUGAAUCAGUGUGUGUGUUAGUGGAAGCGUCUGGAAAGGCGCGCGAUACAGGGUGACAGCCCCGUACACAAAAAUGCACAUGCUGUGAGCUCGAUGAGUAGGGCGGGACACGUGGUAUCCUGUCUGAAUAUGGGGGGACCAUCCUCCAAGGCUAAAUACUCCUGACUGACCGAUAGUGAACCAGUACCGUGAGGGAAAGGCGAAAAGAACCCCGGCGAGGGGAGUGAAAAAGAACCUGAAACCGUGUACGUACAAGCAGUGGGAGCCUCUUUAUGGGGUGACUGCGUACCUUUUGUAUAAUGGGUCAGCGACUUAUAUUCUGUAGCAAGGUUAACCGAAUAGGGGAGCCGAAGGGAAACCGAGUCUUAACUGGGCGUUAAGUUGCAGGGUAUAGACCCGAAACCCGGUGAUCUAGCCAUGGGCAGGUUGAAGGUUGGGUAACACUAACUGGAGGACCGAACCGACUAAUGUUGAAAAAUUAGCGGAUGACUUGUGGCUGGGGGUGAAAGGCCAAUCAAACCGGGAGAUAGCUGGUUCUCCCCGAAAGCUAUUUAGGUAGCGCCUCGUGAAUUCAUCUCCGGGGGUAGAGCACUGUUUCGGCAAGGGGGUCAUCCCGACUUACCAACCCGAUGCAAACUGCGAAUACCGGAGAAUGUUAUCACGGGAGACACACGGCGGGUGCUAACGUCCGUCGUGAAGAGGGAAACAACCCAGACCGCCAGCUAAGGUCCCAAAGUCAUGGUUAAGUGGGAAACGAUGUGGGAAGGCCCAGACAGCCAGGAUGUUGGCUUAGAAGCAGCCAUCAUUUAAAGAAAGCGUAAUAGCUCACUGGUCGAGUCGGCCUGCGCGGAAGAUGUAACGGGGCUAAACCAUGCACCGAAGCUGCGGCAGCGACGCUUAUGCGUUGUUGGGUAGGGGAGCGUUCUGUAAGCCUGUGAAGGUGUGCUGUGAGGCAUGCUGGAGGUAUCAGAAGUGCGAAUGCUGACAUAAGUAACGAUAAAGCGGGUGAAAAGCCCGCUCGCCGGAAGACCAAGGGUUCCUGUCCAACGUUAAUCGGGGCAGGGUGAGUCGACCCCUAAGGCGAGGCCGAAAGGCGUAGUCGAUGGGAAACAGGUUAAUAUUCCUGUACUUGGUGUUACUGCGAAGGGGGGACGGAGAAGGCUAUGUUGGCCGGGCGACGGUUGUCCCGGUUUAAGCGUGUAGGCUGGUUUUCCAGGCAAAUCCGGAAAAUCAAGGCUGAGGCGUGAUGACGAGGCACUACGGUGCUGAAGCAACAAAUGCCCUGCUUCCAGGAAAAGCCUCUAAGCAUCAGGUAACAUCAAAUCGUACCCCAAACCGACACAGGUGGUCAGGUAGAGAAUACCAAGGCGCUUGAGAGAACUCGGGUGAAGGAACUAGGCAAAAUGGUGCCGUAACUUCGGGAGAAGGCACGCUGAUAUGUAGGUGAAGUCCCUUGCGGAUGGAGCUGAAAUCAGUCGAAGAUACCAGCUGGCUGCAACUGUUU
rnacentral:rRNA from 1 species